UGCCUGACCACCACUUCCCUGACGACCAUCACUGCGAACACGCGACAUGGAUUUAAGAAUGAACAACCAACCUUAUUUCUCCAAUCGCUGAACUUACCGGAGAAUAUCAAUUUGAGGGCCGAGAACAGAUCAGGUAUACUAGAGAAGCUCUGCUUCAGCUGAGGAAGCUUGCAAAGGAAACUGUUUGCGAUUUCAUUCUCGGAACCUGAUCAUUGCUACAUGCAUCAAUUAAUAUGACGAUAGCGCCAUUGUUAGGUUGAUUCCUACUUAUGAAUUGU